rnacentral:rRNA from 1 species
UACAGGGGGUGCAAACGUUGCUCGGAAUUAUUGGGCGUAAAGCGCGCGUAGGCGGCUACUUAAGUCGGAUGUGAAAGCCCCUGGCUCAACUGGGGAAGUGCACCCGAAACUGAGUGGCUUGAGUGCGAAAGAGGGUCGCGGAAUUCCCGGUGUAGAGGUGAAAUUCGUAGAUAUCGGGAGGAACACCGGUGGCGAAAGCGACUUCCUGGACCAAUACUGACGCUCAUGUGCGAAAGCGUGGGGAGCAAACAGG